GUGAGGAAUAUUGGUCAAUGGACGGAAGUCUGAACCAGCCAUGCCGCGUGCAGGAAUAAGGUCCUAUGGAUUGUAAACUGCUUUUAUUCGGGAAUAAACCUCUUUACGUGUAGGGAGCUGAAGGUACCGAAGGAAUAAGCACCGGCUAACUCCGUGCCAGCAGCCGCGGUAAUACGGAGGGUGCAAGCGUUAUCCGGCAUCAUUGGGUUUAAAGGGUCCGCAGGCGGGCUAUCAAGUCAGAGGUGAAAUCCCACAGCUUAACUGUGGAACUGCCUUUUAAACUGAUGGUCUUGAAUUAAGUGGGCGUUGGCGGAAUAUGACAUGUAGCGGUGAAAUGCAUAGAUAUGUCAUGGAACACCGAAAGCGAAGGCAGCUAACGAUACUUAUAUUGACGCUCAUGGACGAAAGCGUGGGUAGCGAACAGGAUUAGAAACCCCGGUAGUCC
rnacentral:rRNA from 1 species